AUUGAACGCUGGCGGCAGGCUUAACACAUGCAAGUCGAGCGAGCGGCGGACGGGUGAGUACUGUCUGGGAAACUGCCUGAUGGAGGGGGAUAACUACUGGAAACGGUAGCUAAUACCGCAUACCAUCAGAUGUGCCCAGAUGGGCUUAGCUAGUAGGUGGGGUAAUGGCUCACCUAGGCGCCGAUCCCUAGCUGGGCUGAGAGGAUGACCAGCCACACUAGAACUGAGACACGGUCCAGACUCCUACGGGAGGGAGCAGUGGGGAAUAUUGCACAAGGGGCGCAAGCCUGAGGUAGCCAUGCCGCGUGUGUGAAGAAGGUCUUCGGGUUGUAAAGCACUUUCAGCGAGGAGGCGUUACUCGCAGAAGAAGCACCGGCUAACUCCGUGCCAGCAGCCGCGGUAAUAC
rnacentral:rRNA from 1 species